GGCCGCCGACUGUAAGGAAACGGCUUCUGAGGUCGGCUCUCAGGUCCUGCAAGUCUGGAUUACCGUGAAGAGGUUGCAACCUUCCAUUCUUGGCUGAGCACUUCCGUCCUGCGUCGAAUUCCCGUGAAGAACCCAAUGCCGUAAUGAUGUGUUUAUGAUACAGCACGACAUAGGAAAUGUUGGCACGUUUUUAAAGUUACCCAGGAUAUAAUGAACCUCCUACUGCACGUAAGGGUGAGUUCUGACAAAGGCACAGUCGUUUCGACUUUGCCGUGAAGAUGUAGAAGACUUGUGACAUCCCCAGGCUCCUUUGCGCUGCUCUGUUGGGAACAGCCCUCUCGGUCCCUGCAUGCCCUGACCACAGCUGGCUGCUCUGUGCCCCCAGAUGUCUGCUUCCCGAGAAUGCCCUAGAAGGGGCUGAUGUAUGCUUACGGAACAGAGUGCAUCUGAGAGUCACCCGUCUGUUGCUGCCAAUCGGGAACUCCAUAUUUUUAUUUCUGAGUCAUAUUCCAUU